GCAACUGGUUGGUGGUUAUACAUUUAAUCAAACCGCUGUCUUUGAAACUGCAUGAUGAAAGAGAGGCUUUGCAAUAUCACCUAUGACAUCGAGAUGGGACAAUAAACGGGCGAUAUGAAUAUAUGACCGGAAUUGUACGAGCAUAUCGUGCGUGUGUGGAUAAAUUUGCGAAAUUUAAAAUUCAUUUUGAAGAUCGCUACAACGAAAAUAGGUGGUCUUUAUCGGCGGCGAAAUUUUGGCUGAGAUGGCAAAAGAUCGUGAUGGCUUAUGGAUGUGUGAAGGAAACAAGAAAAUUAAGAAAACUAUUACAAAAUUUACAAAGGCCAAACAGUAGCAGCAAAUGUCAAAAGCUACAGAAAGAAAUUUAAUGUUGUUUUAAAGUUAUACUUAUAGCUGCGUUUUUUGUUCUGUUUAUAUAACUCGUAAUAAUAUGUAUAUUUACAGUAAA